AAAUGAAAAGUAAAAGUUACAAUCAGUUUCGGCCUGACAAUUGGUAUUAAAAUACCUUCAUUUA
rnacentral:tRNA from 1 species